GACGAACGCUGGCGGCGUGCUUAACACAUGCAAGUCGAACGGAAAGGCCCUGCUUUUGUGGGGUGCUCGAGUGGCGAACGGGUGAGUAACACGUGAGUAACCUGCCCUUGACUUUGGGAUAACUUCAGGAAACUGGGGCUAAUACCGGAUAGGAGCUCCUGCUGCAUGGUGGGGGUUGGAAAGUUUCGGCGGUUGGGGAUUGACUCGCGGCUUAUCAGCUUGUUGGUGGGGUAGUGGCUUACCAAGGCUUUGACGGGUAGCCGGCCUGAGAGGGUGACCGGCCACAUUGGGACUGCGAUACGGCGCAGACUCCUACGGGAGGCAGCAGCGGGGAAUAUUGCACAAUGGGCGGAAGCCUGAUGCAGCAACGCCGCGUGCGGGAUGACGGCCUUCGGGUUGUAAACCGCUUUCGCCUGUGACGAAGCGUGAGUGACGGUAAUGGGUAAAGAAGCACCGGCUAACUACGUG
rnacentral:rRNA from 1 species